UACGGGGGGGGCAAGCGUUGUUCGGAAUUACUGGGCGUAAAGGGCGCGUAGGCGGUUUGCUAAGUUGAAUGUGAAAACUCUGGGCUUAACCCAGAGCCUGCAUUCAAUACUGGCAGGCUGGAGUUCUGGAGGGGAUAGCGGAAUUCCUGGUGUAGCGGUGAAAUGCGUAGAUAUCAGGAAGAACACCCGUGGCUAAGGCGGCUCUCUAGUACGGUACUGACGCUGAGGCGCGAAAGCGUGGGGAGCAAACAGG
rnacentral:rRNA from 1 species